UUGAUAGUAAGAACACUCAUAUCAAUGUAGCUUCCUCAAAAGGCCAGUAUACCAUUGUCUUCAUCAGUCAAAAUCUUUACCACCCAGCAUCUGUUGUACUCCAACCAUCAAGUGCAAUCAUGUGUUUUGUGGACCUGGGUUACCAUGAUGAUACAAGGCAUGGCCCCAGUAUUGAAUGUGCCUCUAUGGAUGGCAGCAGAAGAAAGGUGCUAUGGCAGAAAUCCCAGGUCCCAGUAGCCCUGGCCUUUUCAGAUUCAGGGAUCUGCAUAUACUGGGCUGAUACUGCAAGAGGACUCAUAGUGAGCAUUUGCCAAGAUGGUUCUAGGUACAGAAUAGAUAGCAGAGGAAUUCAGAACCUGAGCCUAUUUACAGAUGACUGAGGCAAGAUGUUGUGGACCACAACUGGUGAUGCCCAAGUCACAAAAGUUUGGUAUGGCAAGAAGAAACUUAUGGAAGACCAAUGGUUCCAAGUAGACCAGAAAAUCAUGGAUUUAAAAGUUUAGAGUAAACUUAAUCAACAGGGUA